rnacentral:rRNA from 1 species
AUACGUAGGGGGCGAGCGUUGUCCGGAAUGAUUGGGCGUAAAGGGCGCGUAGGCGGCGCGGUAAGUCUGGAGUGAAAGUCCUGCUUUCAAGGUGGGAAUUGCUUUGGAUACUGCCGCGCUUGAGUGCAGGAGAGGUCAUCGGAAUUCCCGGUGUAGCGGUGAAAUGCGUAGAGAUUGGGAGGAACACCAGUGGCGAAGGCGGGUAACUGGACUGCAACUGACGCUGAGGCGCGAAAGUGUGGGGAGCAAACAGGAUUAGAUACCCUGGUAGUCCACACUGUAAACGAUGAAUGCUAGGUGUAAGAGGUAUCGACCCCUUUUGUGCCGGAGUCAACACAAUAAGCAUUCCGCCUGGGGAGUACGGCCGCAAGGUUGAAACUCAAAUGAAUUGACGGGG